rnacentral:rRNA from 1 species
UUCGGCCCUCGGCGUACUGCUCAGUAACACGUGGAUAACCUACCCUGGGAUGGGGGAUAAUCUCGGAAAACUGAGGAUAAUACCCCAUAGGUCUGGGAGGCUGGAAUGCGCCCAGACUAAAAACUCCGGUGUCCCAGGAUGGGUCUGCGGCCUAUCAGGUUGUAGUGGGUGUAAAGGACCCACUAGCCGACGACGGGUACGGGCCAUGGGAGUGGUAGCCCGGAGAUGGAUUCUGAGACACGAAUCCAGGCCCUACGGGGCGCAGCAGGCGCGAAAACUUCGCAAUGCGCGAAAGCGCGACGAGGGGAUUCCAAGUGCAUGCACUCAGUGCAUGCUGUUUUCCAGUGUAAACAGCUGGGAGAGUAAGGGCUGGGUAAGACUGGUGCCAGCCGCCGCGGUAAUACCAGCGGCCCUAGUGGUG